GACGAACGCUGGCGGCGUGCCUAACACAUGCAAGUCGAACGGAGAUAUGCGAACGAGGCCUUCGGGCGGAGAUUGCAUAUUUUAGUGGCGGACGGGCGAGUAACGCGUGAGCAACCUGCCCUUCAGAGGGGGAUAACGGCUGGAAACGGCCGCUAAUACCGCAUGACAUAUACACAAGGCAUCUUGAGUAUAUCAAAGGAGGAAUCCGCUGAAGGAUGGGCUCGCGUCCGAUUAGCUGGUUGGUGAGGUAACGGCUCACCAAGGCGACGAUCGGUAGCCGAACUGAGAGGUUGAUCGGCCGCAUUGGGACUGAGACACGGCCCAGACUCCUACGGGAGGCAGCAGUGGGGGAUAUUGCACAAUGGAGGAAACUCUGAUGCAGCGACGCCGCGUGGGGGAAGAAGGUCUUCGGGAUUGUAAACCUCAGUAGUCAGGGAAGAAGCAAGUGACGGUACCUGAAGAGUAAGCUCCGGCUAACUACGUGCC
rnacentral:rRNA from 1 species